ACCACCCAAAACAGAGCAAAACUUCUCCAAACUCUCUCUCACUCCACCGGCCACCAAUCAAGACCAGAACACUUCCUAUAGCUUCGCCUCGACCUUGCGCAGCUGCAGGUGGCAGCCUUGAACCACGACACGGCCACCAGCGGCGGCGGGAAGCUCCGCCCGGUUUGAGCUCGUUUUGGUUCCAAGCUUGAUAUCUCAAGCUACCGGCCAACAAUCCUCACCAAACUUCACCCACGAGCUCGCCUCAACGUCCUGAAGCUCCCAGAAGUGGCCUUGCACGGCGGCGCUACUCGUGGUGGCGGCUGGAAGCCAGACCCGAUCAAAUCGAAAAACCGAAGCUUCGAUCGGUAUAUCUCGAGCUGUAGUGCAUCGUUUUGAUUGAUUCUUUUUCCAGUGGGUUCCCCUUGAUGUUGUUAACAACUCUCUAGAAGGCAUCGAGGCCUGAAAUUGAAGUUUUUACGUCGAUCGGAGCCCUCGCCGGAUUCUGCAAAAUUCUGCAAAUUUUCCGACCACCGAAGCUUUCGAUCGGUAUAUCUCGAGCUACAGACCAUAUUUUUCUGUGAUUCUUGAACCAAUGCGUUCGUCUUGAGUUUCUUAACAACUCUCUAGAAGGAAUCGAAGCCUGAAAUUGAAGUUUUGACGUCGAAAUCAAGCCUUGCCGGAUUCUGCAAAUUUCGCCGGAUUCUGGAAAUUUUCCGGCCACCUCGACUGUUCUAGGUUAUCGACGGAUUGAUUUGGUGGACGAUUCGGAUUGAUGUAUUUGGCUUUUUAGAAGACGCAGCUGGAUUAGAGCGGGAAAUCCUACAGGUCAGGAAGAUCAAGGCGGAGAUCGUGCGGGUUAGAGUUUUUGUUUCAGUUUACAGCUUUGUAAAUUGUGAGAUGUAUUAUUAAGAGGUGUGAAGUGUGGUUGUUGUGAGAAAAAAAUUCAGGACGUUUAUUCUAUUAAGUUGUAUAAUUCAUGUUUCGGAUUUUAAUUGUAUUUAAAAUUCGGGGCGUGACAGUUUGGUAUCAGAGCGUAAGGUACAUAUUUGGUGACGUGUCAAUACCUUCCGAGUGAUGGCCCGUCUGCAGCGGAUCCCCAUCGUGCGCUCUUCGGUAUUGGCUAAGUCAUUGGGUAUGUGUGAGUGUUGGAAGUUGU